GUCGACGAUUACUCCUACGGGAGGCAGCAGUCGGGAAUAUUGCGCAAUGGGCGAAAGCCUGACGCAGCGACGCCGCGUGGGGGAUGAAGGUCUUCGGAUUGUAAACCCCUUUCGGGAGGGAAGAUGGAGCGAGCAAUCGUUCGGACGGUACCUCCAGAAGCAGCCACGGCCAACUUCGUGCCAGCAGCCGCGGUAAUAAUCUCUAGA
rnacentral:rRNA from 1 species